CAGAGCCCGCUGCCGGGCUGCUCUGCGCCUGCUUUCAGUUUCAAGCAGAGCGCGGCGAAGUCGGGAGCGCAGCCGGAGCCUAGCCUAUGGAAAGAAUCUGAAAAUCCAGCUCCAGGACUUGGCCCAGGAACUCAGGAGACCCUCUCUGUGGACAUCCUAGAAUAUCUAUGAUGAACCAGGGAGCCAGGGCUGGUUAUUUUUAAAGAGUUUAAUGUCUUACUCCAAGGGGAAAGAGCACUCAUGGUGGAAACAAAGGCAUCAUGUUAGACGGGCUGGAGGAGAAAAUUGAAUUUGAAGGACUUUCCCAGCAAUUAUACCAUCCAGGCACUCCUCACUUCCACCUGGCACCUUGCUGCCCUGGAUGAGUUCUUUAUGUGCCACAUGGACUUUGGACACUGUAGCCCAGAAA